rnacentral:rRNA from 1 species
CGGAGGGUGCAAGCGUUAUCCGGAUUCACUGGGUUUAAAAGGUGCGUAGGUGGGCAGGUAAGUCCGUGGUGAAAUCUCUGAGCUUAACUCAGAAACUGCCGUGGAUACUAUUUGUCUUGAAUAUUGUGGAGGUAAGCGGAAUAUGUCAUGUAGCGGUGAAAUGCUUAGAUAUGACAUAGAACACCAAUUGCGAAGGCAGCUUACUACACAAUUAUUGACGCUGAGGCACGAAAGCGUGGGGAUCAAACAGGAUUAGAUACCCUGGUAGUCCACGCCCUAAACGAUGAUUACUCGGCAUCAGCGAUACACUGUUGGUGUCUGAGCGAAAGCAUUAAGUAAUCCACCUGGGAAGUACGAUCGCAAGAUUG